UGAUCAGUAGCUGGUCUGAAAGGAUUAAUCAGUCACACUUGGAACUUAAACACGGUUAGAAUUUUACGGGAGGCAGCAGUGGGGAAUUUUUGCACAAUGGGGCGAAAAGCCUGAUGCAGCGACGCCCGCGUGCGGGAAAAAAGGCUUUCGGGUUUGUAAACCGCUUUUCAACAGGGAAGUAAGGAAUGAGAGCUAAUACCUCUCUGCCCUUGACGGUACCUGUAGAAGUAAGCACCGGCUAAUUUCGUGCCAGCAGCCCGCGGUAAUACGAAAGGUGCAAGCGUUGUUCGGAUUUACUGGGCGUAAAGAGAUCGUAGGUGGCUUGUUAAGUCGGAUGUGAAAUCCCGGGGCUCAACCCCCGGAACUGCAUCCGAUACUGGCAGGCUUGAGUUUGGGGAGGGGGUAAGCGGAAUUCCGGUUGUUAGCAGUGGAAAUGCGUAGAUAUUACCGGAGGAACACCUGGAGGCGAAAGCGGCUUACUGGACCAAUACUGACACUGAGGUUCGAAAGCGUGGGUAGCAAACAGGAUUAGAUACCCCUGGUAGUCCACGCCCUAAACGAUGCAACUAGCCGUUGCCGGGUAUCGACCCCUGCAGUGCGCAGCUACGCGAUAAGU
rnacentral:rRNA from 1 species